rnacentral:rRNA from 1 species
AUGUCUGGCAAUGCUGACAAAUCUCAGCUUGCAGCUGAGCAAAUAAAGGCACAGGCCUUAUCAGCUGCAAAGGGAUUGAGCAGGGUUCAAGCUGAACGUGCAGCUGCGGCUGCUGCCCGCAAUGUGAAUGCCUAUGGGUAGAAGGAAGAGGAGCCAAGCCGCUGACAAGAGAAGAAUGAAGCCAAGAGACAGAUUUAUCUGGCGAGUAUGGAGAAGGCUGCAGUACAUGUGAAACCAAAAGCUUCACCAACUUCUUCUGGUGAUGCAUAUUCCCAAUUUCAGAGGUGUUUCCAGCCUGGGUACUAGAGAUAUGAGUGCAAGAACGACUGUGCCUACAUAUUACGGACUUAAAGAACGCAGCAGCUUGAAAACCCCAAGUUGACGUAGUCGACUGUGUUAGAGUCCUAUCAAUUUGUGAAUCUUGAUCUUGAAAAGGAGAGGGAGGAGGAGAAGAAGCUGAUGAAAGAAAAGAUGGAGAAGGAAAAAUCUACAAGAAGGGAGGGGAAAAGUAAGAGAAAAAACCGCUCACAUAAUGGUUCAGAUCGGCAUAACAGUACUCUGUUCGACUCGGACACUGAAUCAUCAGCUACCGGCUCUGGAUAUUCUUCUGAAAGUGUCAGUUCUUCGAAUUCAUAGAACAAGAAGCGGCGACCCAAAGGGAAGCAGAAGAAGAGAAGGCACAGAAGGGACAGCACAUUGUCAUCGUCAUCCGAUUCUGAAUCAGUUUUGGAGUCUAAUUCUGUUGACAAGGGCAGCCAGAGGAAGACCCGUAAGGCGAAGCAACAGGUGCUGAUGCUGAUGAGCCAGAGAAUGGAGGAAGUCAAUGAGGAAGCCAAGUAUGUCAUCUCCAUUUCACUCCACAUACGUCCUCUGAGAAACAAAUGCAACCGUUUCUUUGCUGAGUGCUAG